AAGUCGUAACAAGGUUUCCGUAGGUGAACCUGCGGAAGGAUCAUUAACACGUUAUCCACGUAUCUACCUCUUGCGAACUUUUUACUGUUCAGGAGUCGGCAGACCAGCGUAGAUAAUGGAGGUAGAUGUUACUAUGUCCAGUGGCCGACACCCUGGUUCUACCUGCCUAGCUAACCCCGCCAUCCCCUUCGUUUUUUUUUAAAUGUGGUGUAAGAAAAAAAGAAGCGUGUUGGGUGUGGGCUUAGGUAUUCUGGUUCAUAUGACUCGAAUCAUAGUAGUUUUUUUAAUCUUAUUAACCCUUUUUUUACUUAAUUUGUUGAAUUGUGAUGGUCCCUGGAGGUAACACUUCGGGUGGCUCACGUUAAUAAAACACUAUACAACUCUUAGCAACGGAUAUCUCGGUUCUCC
rnacentral:misc_RNA from 1 species